UACGGGGGGGCGAAGCAGUUGUUCGGAAUUACUGGGCGUAAAGCGCGUGUAGGCGGUUAUCCAAGUCGGGUGAUGAAGCCUUGAGCUCAACUCAAGAAAUGCACUCGGUACGUGGGUGACUAGAGGACCGGAGAGGAUAGUGGAAUUCCCGAGUGAUAGUGGUGAAAUACGUAGAGAUUGGGAAGAACACCAGUGGCGAAGGCGGCUAUCGUGGACG
rnacentral:rRNA from 1 species